rnacentral:rRNA from 1 species
AGUAACCUGACUUGGAGUGGGGAAUAACAGCUGGAAACAGCUGCUAAUACCGCAUAAUGCAGUUGGGUCGCAUGGCUCUGACUGCCAAAGAUUUAUCGCUCUGAGAUGGACUCGCGUCUGAUUAGCUAGUUGGCGGGGUAACGGCCCACCAAGGCGACGAUCAGUAGCCGGACUGAGAGGUUGGCCGGCCACAUUGGGACUGAGACACGGCCCAGACUCCUACGGAAGGCAGCAG